UGGGGAAUAUUGCACAAUGGGGGAAACCCUGAUGCAGCAACGCCGCGUGAGUGAUGAAGGUCUUCGGAUUGUAAAACUCUGUCUUUGGGGACGAUAAUGACGGUACCCAAGGAGGAAGCCACGGCUAACUA
rnacentral:rRNA from 1 species